AUGAAACGGCUUUCCUCCAGGAUGCUACAUGGUGCUACACAGAGGACUACACGGAUGCAUCAUUAGAGAGACAGCAUGUUAUGGUCUUGUUCCUGUUUCUUCUCAUCAGCAUGCUGCCACAGCAGUGAGUUUCAACACUAAUGGAGCCAUUUCACCAAGCAAUAAACUGUGUGGGAGCAUUAGCACCCAAGAUGCAGGCUAACAACAUACUAAACUGACGGGUGCUGACGUGCUGAGCAUUGCUGAAACCACCUCCAGGGAGUAAAUACGAGGUGAGGCAACAAUCAUUCCAAAUAUUCAUUUCUUUUAGUUUCUCUGGGAAGGAUGAAGAGAAAAUGAAAAGAAUAAUUGCACUCAUCCCCUGGAGUAGAACCUCACUUAACGGGAAUGUGUGGAAAACAUGAGGACAGCACUGAAUAAACAGGACAUCCUUAUGCAUACUUUAAUGUGCUUACACAUGCACUUAGACACAUUUAAAUAAUAUAUUACAGAGUACCAAGAACAUAGAUGUUAGUCUUACUUUUGAUUUGCGAGAAUAUAGUGCAAUUUAAGAUGGCUCCAGCUGUUAUUUUGUGAGAGCUUUUAAUUUGCUAUUUUCUCAACCAACCACUAAAUAGUGUCCAGAAAGCCUCAAAUAGUAGCUAUAGCUAGUUCUCCAAUCAAGGUUACCACCAUAUUUCAUCCUAAUUUAGUAAGUGCACAGUUUGACUGUAUACCUCUUAUCACUAUGCACUUGUGUGUUUUCUGCUUAGGUAAUUAAAUCUAAUUGGUUUAGAAAGCAUCAUCGUCAAACACAAAACUAAUUCGGACUAUUGACACAAGAGAUGAUGUGGUCAUGUCAUGCUUUCGAUUGGGCGUGCUACUCCCGACUUUGCCACCUAGAGAGGACAUUAAAGGUGUCACCAUCCCUCAACUAAACAGCAUCUGACAUUCCUUAUUUCAACUUCUUUCCAGAUCUUCAGAACUGGGGUAACUGCAUCCACAUGCCCUCAUCAUGCAGGAAUUCAAAGUAGUGUUAAAGGUGAAAAAGUAAGCACUCUCUCAAGCUCUUUUUUUUCUGCACAAUUACUUCUGUCACUUUUCAUCUGUACAAACAAAUGUGAAAAAAUGAAUGCCUUCGAGCAGAGAUUGCGAGCCCCUUUCCUGUAAUUUUUUUGUCUCAACCCCCCUCUGUGAUGGCAGGCUUUUUGUCCCCACCUCUGAUGUGGUCAGACAACACAGUGAAUGAACUAGUUAGUUUUCUGCUGACACAUAAAAUACUCAUGAUGUGCUAUCUUUGUUACAUCUGGAGUUGAGAGCUUUUAUUUUCACGUAAUAAUUUAACAAUACUUUAUUUUUCCGUCAGUCACAGGAUUUUUGCUUCCAUUUCCUACACAAAAGCAGAAGCACACGUUCAUAUGCGUGUAUUCACAUGAGCAUGUUGCUCACAAGGAACUCUCACAUAUGUUUGAUUCAUUUAAAAUGAUGCCUCCAGAUUACCCUCUGUGUGUUUAUGGCCGUGAUUGCGUGUCUUUAACGUUCUGACAUUCAAAUUUAAUCCGUCCUUGUAAUUAGCCAGGCCCCAACCACCAUAAGCAAAAAUAGAGGCAGAGUGAUUAAAACAGGAAAAUCCAAUCAAACAUGCUUCUUAUGACAGUGAACAUUCACUGAUGAGGUGGCGGCUCCACAUAUAGGAUAUAAUACAGUAACUCGAACACACAAAAAACACGUCCAUGCACAUACACUAUCACAAAGGCACAUUUUAGCACACUCACAAAUAGCUGUACAACCAAAUACACACAUGCGCUACCACAACAAUACUAAUUAAUCCAGAUAUCUUUUCCCACACAGGAUAUCCUUGGCUUUCAUCCCCUCCUCAAUUAGACUGAACUUCCUACUGUUGUGUUAGUGUUUGGAUUAGGAGGAAUUAUGGAGGAAUGCUAAUGUUUGAAAUCCUCCUUUGCCUUUGACUUAGUGCAUCAAAAGCUUGACAGCUAUCUGGCUUUUAUAAGGAGAAGUGUGUAUUUCUUUGUGCGCGUGAAUCUGAACUAGUGUUUAUGCUGCCCAUACAUGUUCGCUAAACCUUCAGCGCACGCUAGCACUUUCACUGCGCUGGCUUCAUCCAGACCACGCAUCACUCUCCAAGCUGCCCUUUUUAUGUACUCCUGAGCUAAGAUGGGUUAAAACAAGAGCAAACGAUUCUUUAGAUGUUUCCUGUGUGACCGGGUCUAUAAUCUCCUUUGGGACUCUUGUCAACAAAGACCUAAACUUAAGUCUUAAUAAUCACAUGAAACACUACAUUUUCGACCUUUUCUUCGUUAGCCAGUUAGCCCAGCUGAUCUGAAUUCAAAUUAGCCACUUACUGCAGGUACAUUAUUAUUCACUAAUGUUAAUUAGUAAACCUGUUGAACUUUUGAAGCAAUAACAUGGCCAUGAAUUAAAGUCAGAACUCAGUAUAAAAUUAUAACUUUCAGCUCAUUAUUUUGCCACUUCCUGUUGUUGAAUCCUUUAUGUAUACAUAAAAUUAACUGGGUACUGCACACCCCCACAGGUCUUUUCAGUUAUUCUGUCUUAUUAGAUGUAGGUUCAGCUAUUCUGGGAAUUUUAAGUCCCCAGACUCCAUGCAAUAAUAAGUGUCCUAGACCUUUUUCAUGGCGGACAUUUUGACAUGUCA